UGAUUUCCAUCAUAUUAUUUUCAGGUGUACAACACAGAGGCUCAACAUCUUUAUAGAUUAAAUUCCAUUUAAUGUCACCAUAAAAUAAUGGCUAUAUUUCCCUGUGCUGUAUGAUACAGCCCUGUAACCUAUCUAUUUUAUACAUAGUACUUUUUAUCUCUCAAUCCCUUACCCCCUUCCUGCCUCCCUCUCCUCCUUCUCCCCAUUGGUAACCACCAGUCUGUUCUGUGUACCUGUGAGUCUAUUUCUGUUUUAUUAUAGUAAUUAAUUUGUUUUAUUUUUUAGAUAUACAUAUAAGUUAAUAAAUAGAAUAUUUGUUUUUCUUUCUCUGACAUAUUUAACUUAGCAUAAUACCCUGUAGGUCCAUCCAUGUUAUUGCAAAAGACAUUAUUUAAUUUUUUAAUGGCUGAGCAGUAUUCCAUUGUGUGUGUGUGUUCAUGUGUAUAUAUGUGUGUGUAUAUAUGUAAAUAUACAUAUAUAUAUAUAUAAUAUACCACAACUUCUUUAUCCAGUCAUCUGCCAGUGAACAUUUGGGUUGUUUCAGUGUGUUAGCUAUUGUAAAUAGUGCUGCUGUGAACACUGGGGUGCAUGUGUCUUUUUGAAUUAUAUUUUUCUCCAGACAUAUACCCAUGAAUGGGAUUGCUGGAUCACACGGAAGUAUAUUUUCAGUUUUUUAAGGAAACUCUAUACUGUCCUCCAUGGUGGCUGCAACAUUAACAUUCCCACCUACCAAGUAGGAGGGUUCCUUUUUCUCUUAAAAGGUCAAAAAUUCCUACAUUUAUAUACUUUCCUUACAGUUUAGGGCACAAUUUGGCAAAAGCCAGAUAGAAUUUAAUAGGAGUAAAUACAGUAUUUUUUCAAAUGCCCAUGCAUUAUGGAUAGAUAUGUUAUUGAUGAGUUGGUUCCCUAUUUUUGUAGAUGCAGAAGUUUUUAUAGCUUCACAGACAUUUCAGUCUUGCAGAAAGAAAAAUGUCUUUGCAUUUUGCUGAACUUGUCCGGGUGGCUUUAUCGAAUUUGGUCCAGGCCUGCAGAGGUGAAUACACAUCCAAACCUGAACCAUUUGAAUGUCUGCAAGAUUUUAAGAGUCUAGAAUGUCAGAUCUGGACUAUAACUCUGGUGAAUGACAUCAGUGAGUGGACUCAAGAAAACUCCAUUUGAGUGCAAAGCCUUUCAUAAGCCAAAAAAGGCUUUGAAAUUGUGGCAAAGCCAGAGACUUUUGUGCACCACAUAUGGCCACAAACCCAUGAGGACAACCACAGGCCUUCUGGAGUGCCAAGGGAAUUCCAUGUGAGGAGUCCAGCACUCACAGGAAUCCAACAAGUCCCUGCCAGCCAGAGCACCUUCAUUGCUACUGUGGUAUUUUGAGCAAAUGUCUUUUCUUCAGGUUCAAAUUGAGAAAACUUGAGCCUAUGAAUCUAAACUCAUCUGUGAUGGUCUGCAGCUGGGAGCAAGCAGAUCAGUGUCAGUCCCUUUGCAGCCGUUGGCUGGGAGCCUGCAUGUUCCCUGGAAUGAUAUUUGAAACAUGUCACCCUAGCCGUGCCUUCGCUCUGGACUGGGAGGCGAGUUUUGGAUGACAAGCUUGUAUUUGUAAAAGUACACACCCUGUGGGAGGUGAUCUGUAUAUACGCUGAGAUACUGUACAUAAAAUUGCCUCUGAAUCCCAAUCAUCUGAAAACCCUGUCCUCAGCCUUUGAUACCUUCAGCUGUUUUAUGAAAGUCCUCCAAGUGGAUGAAAGUAUCAACAACCGGAACAAGAAUUUUUCAUUGCCCUAUUUGAGAAGAGCUGCGUGAACGACUUUUAUAUUCAGGAUAGAGAUACAUUCAUCAAUCCAACCACCAGGAGCCGCACUUGCAACUUCAGCCUCCAUCAGAGGACCUCAGCUGCCCCAGCGAACAGGGCCUUCUGUACAGGGAAUGUGCUCCUCCUCGAAGCAUAGACAAGAAGCAGCCCUUAGAUCUCAUCAGGAAAUUCUACGGAGAGAAGGUCGGAAUCUACUUUGCUUGGGCUGGGCUAUUACAUUCAGAUGCUCCUCCUGGCAGCAGUCGUGAGGGUGACUUGCUUUCUUGUGACCCAGGUGGCUGUCUCCUUGAACUGAUGAUGCAGCUGACAAUAAUCAUGGGAGGACAGUCCAUCUGGAAAAACAUACAAGAGGUGUUACUUCCGAGUAAAAGAAGUUAUGUUGUCCUUCCAUCCUUCCACCACUCCAUGUUGUGUGUCCAUUCCUUCAACAGGUAUUCAGUUUGGGUUCACCACAGUAUAUGUGGCCUCUUUCCAUUGGCCCCUCUGUUGGCUCUGGAGAACAAUAUAUUGGAAAUCAGAGUGGGUACGUGGAACCUUGACUACCCAGUAUAGACGUAUGGUGCCAGAAAAAGCCCAGAACAUCUCAGCAUGGCAGCCAACCAUGCAAGGAACAGCAAUUCUGGCUGUGGUGGACCAAUGUGAAUAAAAAGGCUUCAUUGGGUGAAGACUUAGAAAAGUCGAAAAAUGCAUUGGCGUUGCUUCCUACGGAAUCCAGUGUUGGGUACUGUUUAAUAUGAGAGGGAGAUGCUAACACUAUCAUCGUUAUAAACAACAUAGUUGUUGUAACUGUAAUUGUUAUUAUUUUUAAUAUAUUUUCUUUAUAAUUAUUAUUUGUGACUUACAAGACCCUUACAGAGGCAGUUGUUAAGAAGCGUGGCAGUUAUACUCUUGCUGAAGUGUUAAUUCAGUAGAAGCAUGGUAAUAGCAUUAAUAAGUACUCACUCUUUUGAUCCUCACAUGACUCUAAAAGUCACCCAGCAGUGCUUGUAUAAUGGAGAUAGAAAUCUAUCCGUUUAAUUGUUUGUAGAACCUAAAAUAAGAGCAGUCAUUCCACCGCAUUUGACCAUAUAUUCCAGACUAUCAGUUUAAAGUAGGAACUACCUGAUGAGGCCAUAGAAACCCUUUGUGCCUCCCCAAUCGUUCAUUACCUUCCUGUCCUCUGGGGCAGAGUUUCUUCCAUAAGGUGGCCCCAUCUCUCUUCCCCACCCCACUCUUGGCCUUUGCUACCCACUGUUGUUCAUUAGCUAAGCAGCCUCAUGUUCUGCAUGUGUCUGAGCUGUGAGGGAACAGAACUCAGCUGUUUACAAACUCUAUUGACUAUAACUAGUCUGAACAGCCUCUCUCCUUCCCUGCCCAUAACCCCACAGGGCAACAGGGGGCUCACAACCACAGCGAUUCCCAUGCCAGCCCAACAGGGAACCUUCUUCCCUAGAAAUAUUCUUACAACCAGGGCUGUUUCCUCCCUUACUUCACUGCCAGUUUCACUCCCAGGUUACAGUCCCCAACAAAAGGCUAUCCCAGUUUGGAUAUCUUAAUCAAGUCGCAUUGACCCUGAGUACCUGGCAUUUUCACAUGAGCACUCAUAGAAAUAGAACAGGGCCUGGAAGUGGCUGUGGGCCAGGUUCCUGGGUGAGGGGACUUGGUUCUGUAGCCUGGCCCGAGCUGAGCUCCCAGCACGGCGUCUUCCCAUCUGCAUUAUUUCGGGCCAGGCUUCAACAGUUCAGAGUUUCAUUUUAUCAUCUGCAAACAGAAUAAUUCCCUGCUGCAUAUUUUAAGACUGUUAUGUACCACAAAGGGUGCUUAGGGAAUUCAGUGAGUCAAUGCAUGGAAGUCACAUAACCUGGUCCUCAGGAAAUGUUAGUUAUCUUCAUUAUGCACCAUCGAUAAAAUUGGCUCACAGACUCGGCCAGGUAUCAAAGCUACAGGCACAGGAAUUUGACAAUGUUUUACUGUCUGGAUCAUAGUCACAAUUUUACACAGUAAAACAAGCUACCUGGGACCACCCAGCUGUCAGCCCACCCGACUCCCCACCCCAGGAUCCCUCAAUUUAUCUGAUUUGCUUGCUACCCCUACUUUUUGGAGAAAGUUGGCAAAUCACAGUCAAUGGCUGCUAGGUUAUGUCCAUUCCCAUUCACUCAAAUUGCCCCAUUUUCAGUAUCCACUGUGCUGCAAAACAGACUAACGUUCAGAAAUAUGACAGCAAGGCCUUUCCCGUUCCACAGUCAGAGAACUAAGAAUCUGUCAUGUUUAAUAUGCCAUGUGACACUAAGCAAGGCAGGAAAACAGGCUCCUGUGCUUUAAGAAAGUUUUUAACAAUGACGUUUGAAACUAAAAGUGUUUUUGUUUGACCUUCAGAUAACCAGAAUAUUCAAUUGACUCCUAUUACCCAUUACUCAGAUGUCCUGAUUUGAUUGUAUUAGGCACUUUUUCCUCAUCUCCCCAGCAUGACUUGGCUCCAUCAGCACAGAUGGAGUGUCUCCAAGGCUGCUCCGUGUGCAUGGGCGUGUGAGUGCACACAUGUGCACCCACUGAAUGGUGCCACUGAUUCAUAUCCAGGAGUUGUUCUGUCUUAUAACUCAAGCAUUGCUUUAUUAUAUCCUAGAAAACUGCUUUUAGAUCAUUGAUUGAACUAUAGACCAUCCUCUUGCCCACAUUAGGAAUUGACAUCUUCCAAGACACAGGUCCUAUGUGUUUGUAUAUAUGUAUAAGUAAGAAUUAAAUAUGUAUGUCAUCCCCUCACAUAUUUAAUUUGUGCCUUCCCAAUUGAAUGUGCACAGUAAAGGCUAACUUCCCAUAACAGGAGAACUUUUAGGAAGUAAGAAGAAUGAAUUAGCCACCAAGGAGAAGACAGGAUAUCAAGCAGGAGUUUGGUAUAAAGUCAUUUAUUCUAAAGCUGCUCUGGCUCAAUAAAUAAGUGGAAUUGACAUUGUUGUAUCAUGGCAGAGCAUCUGAAAUUGAAGACCAAUUUUAAUUUACUUUGAUAUAAGUGGAAAAUUGUGUCAGAACAGCAUGGGAAAUGAAGAACACUGCAUCUAUCUGUACUCCUGAAGUGUGUUUCAGAGCUGCUCAAUUUUGAGGAAAAUUAUCUUUUCUGGAGACAAUCGAAUUAUUUUCAUUGUUGGAAUUUUUGUAGCUUCCAGAAGCACAUCAGCAGGUGAUGCUGUAAAAGUCUAGAGUUGACUUAAAUAGCAGGAAAUUUUAGCCUAUUGAAAUCAGGAGAAGUGAAAUGUUUUUGCCUACCAACACCACCGCCACCACCACCACCAGGCAAGCACUUGUACACCCAGAGAGAUUUCACAUCAGAGGGAAUGACAAAGCUGGUUCUGUUACUGAGGCCAAACUUGUUCUGCUCACUGCACAACAGUGAUAAAUAAAUAAAUCAGGAGACAAGGUUUUGGGGCAAGGAAUAGUAACUUUAUUCAGAAAACUGGCAGACCAAAAAGAUGGGGGACUAAUAUCCUGGAGAAUCAUCUUUCCCAAGUCAGAAUUAAUUCUCCUUUUGAACUAAAAAGGGGAAGUGGUGUGGUUGGUUGUGCAAACUUCUUGCUGCCGGCAUUCUUUGUUCUUGCAGCCAUCCAUGUGGCUCAGGCUAUUGUGUCCCUGUAAGCCUGCAACAAAACAAAGGUUAUUCUCUAUUUUGCAACUUGCCAUCUCUGCGUAAGUGCAGAAGUGCUAACAUCCUUAAAGGUCAGAGCCCCGAGAAUAGGCUUUCCUGUAGGUUUUAGGCUAAAGGCAACGUUGUUUUACAAAAGGUACAAAGCCAGCAAGAUUAAGCCUGGAAAACAUUUCACAGGGCUUCAAACUGAAGGAACAGAUCCAAUAUGGCGUCAGAUUUGUUCUCAAUUACAGUUUUAGUUAGGGGAAAUUUUGCAGCAGAAAAUCCCCUCAGUUGUUUUUCUUUCUUUGCCUGAGAUCUUGUUUGUUGGCUUGUGGUCUCAUGGUGUCAAAACGGUAUGUUCAGAUGAGUACUAUUAAAAUCAUAUGGUGCAGAAAACAUAUCUAUUCUGCUUCAAAAGAUGACUGAAACAUUUAGCUUUGUUUAUUCCCAUAGAAUUUGGAUUGAAUCUAUUCUCGACUUCCUUCUUCUUCAAACCAGUUUUUUACUGGAGGGUUUAAAGCCCAAAUUAAAGAAUUUUGGAGAAGACUCAUGUAAUUUAUAAGACGUUUACUUCCGAAUUUAAGACUGACCCAUACUUGUACUUUUAAUCAAGGAACACAAUAAACUUUUUUAGUCGAUCAUUUAUGACGUUUUAUACUUUGUCCUUGUAAUCUUCUGGAAGUUGAGAGGCUUAGACAAUUGAUAUAACAGAACAGGUAUCAUUGCUCAACACUGUGAAUGAAAGAAUCCCAGUAUAGUUUCCUGAAAGUAUAUUUUAUUAAAAAUAAAAAAGAAUUCUUGCUCUCUAAUAAAGCAACAGACAGAAGCACAUACUGAGUGUUUAAAAUAAAUAAUACUAUGGGAAAAAUUAUCUAAGCAACUCAAGAUAGUAUAGAAAAAAGUAUGAACUUGAAGGAAAAUACAUAUUGUGCAAUUAAUAUCUUAUUUUUAAGAAGCAAAUGAUAAAAAAUACCCAAUUUUUAAAUGAUUUAUUGAAAAAGGAUUUAUAUAAAGCCAACUUAUU